rnacentral:rRNA from 1 species
GGGCCCGCACAAGCGGUGGAGCAUGUGGUUCAAUUCGACGCAACGCGAAGAACCUUACCCAGGCUUGAACAGCGAGUGACCAUUCCCGAAAGGGAACUUCCGCAAGGACACUCGUAGAGGUGCUGCAUGGCUGUCGUCAGCUCGUGUCGUGAGAUGUUGGGUUAAGUCCCGCAACGAGCGCAACCCUUGUCUACUGUUGCCAUCAGGUAAAGCUGGGCACUCUGUAGAGACUGCCGGUGAUAAACCGGAGGAAGGUGGGGAUGACGUCAAGUCAGCAUGGCCUUUAUGUCUGGGGCUACACACGUGCUACAAUGGCCGGUACAAACCGUCGCAAAACCGUAAGGUCGAGCUAAUCGGAGAAAGCCGGUCUCAGUUCGGAUAGCAGGCUGCAACUCGCCUGCUUGAAGUUGGAAUCGCUAGUAAUCGCGGAUCAGCACGCCGCGGUGAAUACGUUCCCGGGCCUU